GCCAAGAAAUAGUGAACCACCAUGUUCAUGAUCCAGUCUCUAUUUAAGACAACGAGUAUCCAAAAGAUAUGCAAAGAUUGCAACAUGUUGGGGAGAGUAACUAACUGAAAGCCAACUAACACUUGAAACUAAUGGAUUAUGUGAGACACCAUAAUAGCAGACUGAAUGCGAGGGUUAAGAAGAGGCCAUGUGCCUCUCCCUUGCCACACUUAAAGGCCUCAUUUUUUUACUCUCCAAGAGUAGUGUAACAUGAGAGAAUGACAUACAACUUUCUAUUCUUUCCUUUUUCCUCCUUAAAGUGGCCACUUACACUAAAUAUCACAAGACCACAUAAUACCAAGAACUCUCUAGGUAAUUAAGGGUACCAAUUCAAUUCAAAUGAAAGUAUAUAAGUAUACGAGUUUAACAAUUAACAUGGCACAAUCCACUACGAGUUGCUCACUAUACUUUUCAUUCCACAAUUAACUUGAAAAACGAGAGGGUAAUAAUGUAAUAUACUAUAGUAUACCUUGAGAGUGCCAUUACAGGAACAAGGGGCCUCCAUGAAAUGGAUUUGAUCUUCCUCCUGACAUAUUCUACACUCCACAACCACAUCAUCAUCGUGACGCUUGUAAUUUGAAGAGGAAGAAU